rnacentral:rRNA from 1 species
UACAGAGGGGGCAAGCGUUAUUCGGAAUUAUUGGGCGUAAAGGGCGCGUAGGCGGCUUUUCAAGUGACGGGUGAAAUCCCUCGGCUUAACCGAGGAACUGCCUGUCAGACUGGAAGGCUUGAGACCGGGAGAGGUGAGUGGAAUUCCCAGUGUAGCGGUGAAAUGCGUAGAUAUUGGGAGGAACACCAGUGGCGAAGGCGGCUCACUGGACCGGAACUGACGCUGAGGUGCGAAAGCGUGGGGAGCAAACAGGG